rnacentral:tRNA from 6 species
GGCUACAUAGCUCAGCGGUAGAGCAACCGGCUGUUAACCGGUUGGUCGUAGGUUCGAUCCCUACUGUAGCCGCCA